CAACAUCUUCAUCACCAAGAUGCUUCAUCGAUUGAAUUUUCCCUUUUAGCUCUUCAAAUACUAUUUCCAAUUGCUCCAGAGAUGCCAACACGUGAGAACCGUUUGCACUCUUUCAGGAAAAGAACUUGAUUCAAAGUUUCUGCAUUAUUCAAUUCCUCUACUUUCUGCUCGAGCUCUUCAUUCAUCUCUUUCAUCUUCUUUUGAAAAGCUGUGACAUAUUCAUCACCAAGAUGCUUCAUGAUUAAGUUUUCCCUUUUAGCUCCUCAAUUACCAUUUCCAAGUGCUCCAGAGAUGCCAACACAGAUGAACCGUUUCUCUUAUCAUUCUACAGAAAAACACAAAGAUAAAUAUAUCAUCAAUUGCUGAGCAGAAAACAUAAUCAAACAUAAAAAAUAUGCACCAGUCUUUUUUCUUGAAGACAAAACACUUCAUGAUUAAACAAGACAACUCUAAACAUUUUCUUCUCUUCAUCAAGCUUUUGUCUUUCAAGCUUAAUUAGUGCUUCACAUUUGUCCAAUUCUUUGCUUCAGCAUUCAAGAUUCCUCUUCUUAGCCUUCAGUUCAUCUUUCAGAUUUUUCACCUCUUUCAACAAUUAUAAUGUUCAGGCUGCAGCAUUUUCAUUCUAUCUGAUGGACAAUUGGAAACAAUCAUGUAUCAAACCUUACCUAUCUCAUGGAUAAAAUAUUUUUGAACCAUAUACUUAAACCAAUGAACAAUUUGGAUCAACAUUGAGCAUAACAAUCAAGGAGAUCAGGUAGAGUUUAAUCUCUACCCAAGGCAAGAAACGCUUCCGAAAACUACAUCUAGAUUACGGUCCACCUGCAUACCCAUGAAGAUGGAAACGUUCUUGCUACAAAUAGUACACCUUGACAAUUUAUCCUCAACCACCACUAAGUAGCCAUUAAACUUGGUGGCGUCAAGAAUGCUUCCUCACAACAACCAAGUAUCAAAAAUCUUAAAUGAAAACUACAAAUCAACUUUUUUUAAAUGGAGGGUAAUAUCAAAAGCCAUUAGGAGGAGAACAUGAAAUAAAUAAGACUUAAAUAGAAGUGGGCAGCCUGCCUUUACUGGCAGCAACCUAAGACAGAUGUUGGAGAACUAGGUUUUCUUGAGAGACAGGUUGAAGAGCUAGGUUUUUCUAGGGAGAAAUAGAGUGGGGAUUGGAGAACAUUUACCAUCCUUAGCAUGCAGAAUCAACAGCAGCAACGUUUUUUUUUUCGGUUACAAUAGUUAGAAACAAACAUGAUAAAAAUAGAAGGCACGCAACUAGCAAGCAUCAAUUAAUCAAAUGACAGAAAUCUAAGAAGUUCUAAUCUUUAAAUAGAAGCAAGCCGAUGUGUCACACAUUUUCACUUCUAACAUCAAGCUACCUUCUCAAGGCAUUUAAUACUGGGAAUACUAGGAUUCAAUGAUGUUAUGCUCCUUCAAGUUUACCAAAGUAUCAAGUGUUUAGAACUUCAAACCAAUUGCAUUUACUGCCCAAUUAUUCAUAGCCGUAAAAUGACACAAUGACAAUGAUAAAAUCAUUCCUAGCUACACAAGGGGAAAAAACAACUUAUUGAUGAAACCUUGAUUAUUCUGUCAUUGUGCCUCUGACAGGGAAUAAGCUCAUUAGAUGGACUUAUCCAGGACCAAUUUGCCAAUUGUCAUCAUCUAUUAACUUCAUCAUAUAAUAGCAUUUUAUUUUGUCAUCAAUUUGAUAGAGAUGCUAAUGUUGCAGGUCCUGGUGCUAUUGUUUCCACAGGCUCAAGGUAAUUCAAAGUUUAUUCUAGAAGCAAGAGGGCGGAAAAAGCCAAGGUAAUUGCAGCACAGGUGCUAAUGACUGUUGA
rnacentral:misc_RNA from 1 species